UGUCCAGUAGCACCUUAGAGACCAACUAAGUUUGUUCUUGGUAUAUGCUUUUGUGUGCAAAAGCGUGAAGAAGUGUGUAUGCACACAAAAGCUUAUACCAAGAACAAACUUAGUUGGUCUCUAAGGUGCUACUGGACA